AGUGAACGCUGGCGGUAGGCCUAACACAUGCAAGUCGAACGGCAGCACGGUAAGAGCUUGCUCUUACGGGUGGCGAGUGGCGGACGGGUGAGGAAUACAUCGGAAUCUACUUUUUCGUGGGGGAUAACGUAGGGAAACUUACGCUAAUACCGCAUACGACCUACGGGUGAAAGCAGGGGAUCUUCGGACCUUGCGCGAUUGAAUGAGCCGAUGUCGGAUUAGCUAGUUGGCGGGGUAAAGGCCCACCAAGGCGACGAUCCGUAGCUGGUCUGAGAGGAUGAUCAGCCACACUGGAACUGAGACACGGUCCAGACUCCUACGGGAGGCAGCAGUGGGGAAUAUUGGACAAUGGGCGCAAGCCUGAUCCAGCCAUACUGCGUGGGUGAAGAAGGCCUUCGGGUUGUAAAGCCCUUUUGUUGGGAAAGAAAAGCAGCAGGUUAAUACCCCGCUGUUCUGACGGUACCCAAAGAAUAAGCACCGGCUAACUUCGUG
rnacentral:rRNA from 1 species